AUCAAAAUUAUAAAUUUUUAUUUUGUUUUAACAGCGGUUGCCCCUCGGCAAGCAAUGGUAAACCUCCGAGUGUAUUUCUGUCAUGAAAGAGCUUCUUAUAAAAUCAAAUUUCAUUUCGGUUUACACAACAUCACAUAAGAUAACAACACAUAACAAUGUAUUGAGUGAUUUAAAUUGA